GGGGAAUAUUGCACAAUGGGCGCAAGCCUGAUGCAGCAACGCCGCGUGAGGGACGACGGCCUUCGGGUUGUAAACCUCUUUUAGUAGGGAAGAAGCGAAAGUGACGGUACCUGCAGAAAAAGCACCGGCUAACUACGUGCCAGCAGCCGCGGUAAUACGUAGGGUGCAAGCGUUGUCCGGAAUUAUUGGGCGUAAAGAGCUCGUAGGCGGUUUGUCGCGUCUGCUGUGAAAGCCCGAGGCUCAACCUCGGGCCUGCAGUGGGUACGGGCAGACUAGAGUGCGGUAGGGGAGAUUGGAAUUCCAGGUGUAGCGGUGGAAUGCGCAGAUAUCAGGAGGAACACCAAUGGCGAAGGCAGAUCUCUGGGCCGUAACUGACGCUGAGGAGCGAAAGCAUGGGUAGCGAAC
rnacentral:rRNA from 1 species